UACGUAGGUGGCAAGCGUUGUCCGGAUUUACUGGGCGUAAAGAGCGCGCAGGCGGUCGGCCAAGUCGAGGGUGAAAGCCCCCGGCUCAACUGGGGAGGGUCAUUCGAUACUGGUCGACUCGAAGGCAGGAGAGGGAAGCGGAAUUCCCGGUGUAGUGGUGAAAUGCGUAGAUAUCGGGAGGAACACCAGUGGCGAAGGCGGCUUCCUGGCCUGUUCUUGACGCUGAGGCGCGAAAGCUAGGGGAGCAAACGGG
rnacentral:rRNA from 1 species